GAUAAACGCUGGCGGCGUGCCUAACACAUGCAAGUCGAACGAUCCCGCAAGGGAGAGUGGCGGAAGGGUGAGUAACACGUGGGAAUCUACCUCCUCGCAGGGAACAACCUCUCGAAAGAGAGGCUAAUACCCAAAAGGGUCAGAAAUGAUCAGAGUCGAAAGGCGUGAGGAGAGGAGCCCGCGGCCCAUCAGCUAGUUGGUGAGGUAAUGGCUUACCAAGGCUACGACGGGUAGGGGAUCUGAGAGGAUGUCCCCCACACUGGAACUGAAACACGGUCCAGACGCCUACGGGUGGCAGCAGUGAGGAAUAUUGGACAAUGGGCGAAAGCCCGAUCCAGCAACGCCGCGUGGAGGAUGAAGGCCUUCGGGUCGUAAACUUCUUUAGAGGGAGACGAGAAAGGACGGU
rnacentral:rRNA from 1 species